rnacentral:rRNA from 1 species
CCUACGGGAGGCAGCAGUGGGGAAUAUUGCACAAUGGGGGAAACCCUGAUGCAGCAACGCCGCGUGAGUGAAGAAGUAUUUCGAUAUGUAAAGCUCUAUCAGCAGGGAAGAAGAUGACGGUACCUGAUUAAGAAGCCCCGGCUAACUACGUGCCAGCAGCCGCGGUAAUACGUAGGGGGCAAGCGUUAUCCGGAUUUAUUGGGUUUAAAGGGUGCGUAGGCGGUAUUUUAAGUUAGUGGUAAAACGUCGGGGCUUCACCUUGAUUGGCCAUUAAAACUGGAGUACUAGAGUACAGGCGAGGUAGG